GCUUAAAGGGGCCGUAGCCGGUUUGGUCAGUCCUCCGGGAAAUCUGACGGCUUAACCGUUAGGCUUUCGGGGGAUACUGCCAGACUUGGAACCGGGAGAGGUAAGAGGUACUACAGGGGUAGGAGUGAAAUCUUGUAAUCCCUGUGGGACCACCUGUGGCGAAGGCGUCUUACCAGAACGGGUUCGACGGUGAGGGACGAAAGCUGGGGGCACGAACCGGAUUAGAUACCCGGGUAGUCCCAGCCGUAAACGAUGCUCGCUAGGUGUCAGGCAUGGCGCGACCGUGUCUGGUGCCGCAGGGAAGCCGUGAAGCGAGCCACCUGGGAAGUACGGCCGCAAGGCUGAAACUUAAAGGAAUUGGCGGGGGAGCACAACAACGGGUGGAGCCUGCGGUUUAAUUGGACUCAACGCCGGACAACUCACCGGGGGCGACAGCAAUAUGUAGGUCAGGCUGAAGACCUUGCCUGAAUCGCUGAGAGGAGGUGCAUGGCCGUCGCCAGUUCGUACUGUGAAGCAUCCUGUUAAGUCAGGCAACGAGCGAGACCCGUGCCCACUGUUACCAGCAUGUCCUCCGGGACGAUGGGUACUCUGUGGGGACCGCCGGUGUUAAAUCGGAAGAAGGUGCGGGCCACGGUAGGUACGCAUGCCCCUAA
rnacentral:rRNA from 1 species